rnacentral:rRNA from 1 species
CCUACGGGGGGCAGCAGUAAGGAAUAUUGGUCAAUGGAGGAAACUCUGAACCAGCCAUCCCGCGUGAAGGAUGAAGGGGCUCUGCCUUGUAAACUUCUUUUGUCUGGGGCGAAAAAGCUCGAUUUAUCUAGAACUGACGGUACCAGAAGAAUAAGCACCGGCUAACUCCGUGCCAGCAGCCGCGGUGAUACGGAGGGUGCAGGAAUCAUCCGGAAUCACUGGGUUUAAGGCGGGUUAGUGAGUCAGAGGUGAAAGGCUGUGGCGUAACCAUGGAAUUGCCAUUGAUACUGCAGAGCUUGAAUGAGGUUGAGGUUGGCGGAAUGUGACAUGUAGCGGUGAAAUGCUUAGAUAUGUCAUGGAACACCGAUUGCGAAGGCAGCUGACUGGACCUAUAUUGACGCUGAGGCACGAAAGCGUGGGGAGCGAACAGGAUUAGAUACCCUUGUAGUC